rnacentral:rRNA from 1 species
UAGGGAAUCUUCCACAAUGGGCGCAAGCCUGAUGGAGCAACGCCGCGUGAGUGAAGAAGAUCUUCGGAUCGUAAAACUCUGUUGUUAGAGAAGAACACGAGUGAGAGUAACUGUUCAUUCGAUGACGGUAUCUAACCAGCAAGUCACGGCUAACUACGUGCCUG